AUGAUUCUGUGAUUCUUUGUGGAACAUUGGACACUUGACAUUUGACGAGAGGCCAUCUGGAGCUCCAUUUGUACUUAUACUAAGCAUUAUGCACUUGCUGAAGCAUCCAGUGAUCAAGCUGCCUUUGGGAGUUAUCCUUCAAUCUUCGUUUAAUUAAGAACUCUAAGGGUCCUUCUCCAGGAAGAAAAAAGCUACGAAGGGGACCCUAUUAAAUAUAACCAUUAUCUAGAGGCAGUUGGAAAUAACAGAAAAUAAUGAGUUAGAAGACCCACCUUGGAAAAUUUGGACAUUCGCAGGUAAAGAAAAAUUUCAUCUUU